ACCCUCCCUGCCUUUGGGGAUCUUAUAGUUCAAUGGGAGGUUCAGAGAUGAACACUGAUCAUUUCGUUACCGGAUUUGCAAGUUAACUGAGAGGUAUGGAAAGCUCUUGCCUCUACUUGGGGAUGAACCAGCCCAUUCAUGGGGCAUAUCAAGACCAAAAAGAAUAAUUCAUCAACAGUAAGGAGAUCACUGUACAGGAGUAGUUCUCUUCAUCUGUAAGAAUGGACAUGGCGAGUGCAUUCCAUAGGUAUGGAGAGAGCGUGUGGGGGCAUAAACUAGAGUUGUGUGAAGAAUACAUUCCAUUGGGUGCAUAUCUGGACCAUGAAGGAUCGCUCUGGCUUCAGACUUCUUAAACCUGUCAAAGUUGGAUGAAAGUGCUGAAACUAUUGCGAGCCCAGCAAGCUGCAUACACACCACUGGCAGGAUUAAAAUUCCACUCUGUCUCUCCAAAAGGCAUUUCGUAAAUCAGAAGCAGAAAAUGAGGAGCCAUGUUCUCUUGACCUCUAGGUGAAAAGGAGAGCCAUUUCUUUUUCCUCAUUUGAGCACAAUAGAACUCUCCUGUACAUCUGCCACGAAUACAUCUGCUUCAAGCCACAGAAACUUC